ACCCCGUUCCCCCUCAGCCGCUGCUCUCCCCUCACACCGGCGGUGCUGCUGUGCCCAUCAGAGAGGAGAUCCCGGGCUGCAGUGGUGCCCUUGGUUAUGUUUUUGGCUCAUCUACGCUUAUAGAUGAUAUUGGUGAUCCUCCAGGCUCAAAGGCUGCAGUCCUGCCAUCCAGCUCUUGUAUUAGAGACCAGUGACUCAUUUUGUCCUGUCCUUGUUCCAAAAGAAAUGCUGAGCCUUUCCAAGGCCAUGGGGUCUUGUGUUUGCCCAAAGAGAACAUUUCUGAGAGAUCUGGCUCUAGAAGUAUCUCAAUUUUACCCCAUUUUCUGUGUCUGCACCUUUCAGGUGUGCAAAUACCCUCAUCCUUGGACCUGCUCCAGUGGCGGCUCCCUGUGAGGCUCCACUCUGCUGCUGGAGGGGUCGAGGUGAUUCUCUGGCAUUUUGCUGGUUUACCUGGUGCAGAUUUACCUGUUCUGUGACACUGGAUAAAGCCGGGAUUUAAUUCUUUUUCAGCCCAAAGGUACAUCCCACUGCUCCUUGUGGGGCUGGAGGAGGCUGGAUUGACACCUGGAGGAAGCAGCUGAACUGGUGACAAGACACUGGAAAAUGCCCUUGGAGGAGGCAAAGGAAUGGCCCAGGCAGCUGAGAGACCACGGGCAGGGAUCAGGUUUCUUAGGUGCCAGUUUGAUGGGCUGCCCUCCCCGCCCAGCAUGUUUGCUGCUCUCCCUCCUUCCGUGUGCUGGCUCAAUGUUUUGCACCGGCUCCAUGGAGCAUCUGCUGAGCUCCGUGGGUGGCACACAGGGAAUACAGCCCGCUGCAGAACGCAGGGGAAAGGUGAUUUGAGGCCAAAUGUUGGCCUCUGAAUGAGGGAAAAGCAGGGAGUCAGGGCUGUGGCAAUGCUUCCUUGGGGAACUGCUCCAAGCCAAAUGGGCCGGUUGACCAUGGCUGGGCUCUUCAAUGGCACAAUA